GGAAGGCAAACAGGCCAAUACACAGCCUUGUGCUCCCGGCUCCCUCCCACCCCUGCCUCUUCCAGCCCUGCCCAGCACUAAAUAUUUAGUAUUGGGGGCAGAUGGGAAGGAAGCCUCAGGGCCAGAGGGCUCGAUAGUACUGCAAGCAGGUCUCAGAUAAACAAAAGAGGCAACUUCUUUCCUGCCCUCUCCCCUUCCCCAGCCCUGGGCUGUUGCCAUAGAGGACAGCUUCUCUGGAUGAGAAGUUUAGCUAUCUAGCAUCAGCCCUGGAUGGAAUCUUGAUAGAAGAGCUUCGACAUCUUUAUUUAUUCACAGAGGAGGGGAAAAAAAGGAAAGAAAACCAGGGGGUAAAUUCUCCUAGGUAGUACAACCCAACGCAAGUCUGUUUAAGGACAAUGCCACUCUGCUGUCUUCUGCACAGAUGAAUAAGCAUGCAUGUUUUAAAAAAUAGCAGAAGCUUGCCUAUGGAGAUCCCAAUGGGGAAGCUUUUGCCAGCACAGAAAAAGAGAGUCUCUCUACAGGAAAACCAGGACCUAGAAAAAUAAAAUGGACGCAAAGUGAUACCAGCCAAACCCAGCUCAAUAUACUUCAAACUUGCUAUUCCAUACAGUCCUCUUGAAAGUGAUGCUUAUAAACCACAAAAUGACACCACUGAUAAUGUCACAGAACUUGACAAGACAUUAGCCUGAAUCUACGUAAAAUAACGCAUGUCUGGUCAAAAUGUUUCCAGGCUAUUGUCCCUAAGAAUAAUGAUUAACAUCAGCUCUUCUCAUGUGAAUUAUUCUGUCUUAAUCAAAAC
rnacentral:lncRNA from 1 species